rnacentral:rRNA from 1 species
CGAACGGGUGAGUAAUGCGUGACCAACCUGCCCCAUGCUCCAGAAUAGCUCUUGGAAACGGGUGGUAAUGCUGGAUGCUCCAACUUGACGCAUGUCUUGUUGGGAAAGUGUUUAGUGGCAUGGGAUGGGGUCGCGUCCUAUCAGCUUGUAGGCGGGGUAAUGGCCCACCUAGGCUUCGACGGGUAGCCGGCCUGAGAUGGCGGACGGCCACAUUGGGACUGAGAUACGGCCCAGACUCCUACGGGAGGCAGCAGCC